AGUCGCAUUUUUUGAUCAGUCGCAAUCAGUCGUCUCCAGUCGUCUCCUGUAAACUGGAAGAGAAAGGACGUUAUUUUUUGUGGAUCGGAGAUUUUGUGGUAACUUUUUCAUCAAGCCCGAGCAAGCCAUCUUUUUUUUUGUGCCUCGGCUUCUCGCUAAUCAUAUCUGAAUGUUCCUUGAUGAAUCUGUACAAACAAAGCAGUUUUUCGUUGAUAACUGGUAAACGUUCCAAGUUGGAGUUCUACCAGAGAGGUGGCACUACCAUGUCGUUUGCCAGCAUGUUGGAGUCUUGGCUGAUGUGUCAUACUAAUACGAAGCUGGAUCAACAUAGUACAAUAACAAGAUCAUCAAUCAGAAUAAUAAACAAGCUCAUCAAUGACAGCACUAAAUUAAACAGAAUAUAUUUUCAAAGCAACUUAAGGCAAAAAGAUGAGUUUACAUUGAAAAUAGAUGAUAAUGAAUGAUGAUGAUGGUCAUCUGACUUGACUGAAAACGAUGAAGGGCGCUUGAAGUGUUGAUAGUUACGAGAAUGUGAUGGAUUUUGAUAUAGCAAUAGCUUCAUCGAUGAACACUUCAAACGUGUACCUAUCGACGAACACGUUCCAGGAAUGGCAAUCAUCGUGAUAGGAUAGUAAUACAAUUAUCACCUGGACAACACACAGAGAGGAUUCUCAAUAGUGAAUGCCUAUAUACGCGUAUAAUUAGUGGUUGAAUCGAGAGUGCACGAACUGAUGGAUGCCAUAUCCAAUCUAUAUAUUAUCAUCAUCAUCAUCCAUUUAUAUAUACUUGACGAAAAUAGAGAUAAAGAGUAAAUAUAUAUAUAUAAAAAGGGAUUUGCAAGUAUGUACAAUUCAAUGCAAAUAUUCUCAUGACCAGGAACGAGUUCGUUAAUCUGUUAAUGCAUUUGAUUUCAAUGAUGAAAAUCUAGUAGAAAAUCACUGAAAAACAAAGAUGCUGUACUUGUUCGUUGUCCGAUAAAAUUAAACAUGUUUAUAUUAAAAAACAUACUGGCGAUUCAUGCUGACGAAAGUUUAAUCAGUUUUAUCGAUAACGCCUUGGGCUUUAAAGCAGUAUAAACAACGAGUUUGGAUAUUUGUGUGCAGAGUAUUUAUCUUGGUGCUGAGAAUAAUCACAAUAUGACCACUAGACAAUGAUGCCUCACACGAGAUGGACCAUGUUUAAGAUGGAAGUUGAGAGAAAAAAAAUAAAUAAAAUGAUUCAUGAAGGCUGUGAUCGUAAUGUGAGCAAGUAAGCGGACAUUAUCGGCUCGUUGAGAGUCGUCAUCAACUCUUGAGAUGCAUUUCAGGCAUUUUAACGUGAGUACUAACGGACAAAGACGAAUUAUAAAAAUUACGUUAAAGUUCUAAAGUGAGGAUGUAAAAUGAGUACUGGAUAUAUGAUGGUGUUUGACUAAAUAUAAAGAAAAUAGUCUAAAAAGUUUUCAAGUGAUAUGAAAGCUACAUUUUAGAGAAAUUGGAUGAUAAAGGUCUUGCUUGUGGUGUAUGUUGUAUAUUCAACUGACUCAACCCUCUUGUUUAACGUAAAAUUGUUGUGAUAUCUACACCCCUUUUCACGAACGGAGCCCGCCCAAUGAGAGAAUAACCAAAGAAGAUAGUGUGACGACGUGAUGAAUGUGACAGUUAGAUUAAUUGUUGGCUACCGCGUUCAUCGGUGCGUUUGUUGGUUUGUUUUCGGUCGAAGAGAAGAGGAGAGGAGGUGUUGAAAAUCAUUGCCAACGUACGAGGAAUUUGAUAAUAAAGAAAAUUGAUUGUAAAAAAGAAAAAGGAAAAAGUUGCGUAUAUUUGACCUUUAAUAAUAAAGUAAUAGUCAAUUAUCGUUGAAAUUAUUUGUCACGAUCGUCACGCUAACUUUACAUAUGUUUGGCCUUAACAAUACUCAGGUUAAACAGCAUAUUACACGACGAGAGGAUAAAAUUGUUUGGCAUCAAUUGACGUGAAGGUUAAACCACUGGUGAUAAAUUUGUUUACCGUUAUUGCAUCAAAUUACAACUGGAUCCAUCAAAAAAUAUAUAUCUUAUUCUUCACGGUAUCAACUGUAAUUUCAAUUCAAUAUACAAAGUGAGUAUGUGAGUCAACCUGCCCACGAAAUCGAGGCCAUGUGACAAUGGAUUGAUUUAGUGAAAUUCUGUUCUGUUCUGGCUUGAAUAGUCUCGAGGUGGGUCUCUCAAGUAAACCAGUCAACUGAUGAUCUCAACCCCAUGGUACUGUCUCUUGGUCACGUACAGACUGUAACACGCGUACUGAUAUAUUCUGUGUUCAACAUGUACACGGAUCAGAGAAUGCGUCUUGAGUAUGUUUCGACAUUCAGCUAUACAUACAACCACGUGUACAAGUCACUCGUCUUUGGACAACAGGCCACUUUGUUUUGGACAACUUGCCUUGAUUAUACACAAUACAAUAAAGGAAUGAAAAAUGUGUAGGCGUGGUGAUGCAAUUCAUGUUUAUAAAUAUUUUUGUUGAUCAUUUUGAUCUACUUAAAUUUUUAUUUUCAUUCUUAUUGUACAUCCAAUUGGUAUAUUGAGUUGGUUGGACGCUCAAGUUGCAGACAGAUGGUUUUAAAAUUAAACUGAAAAAAAAAAAACAACAUUCAACUACAUCAUAAAGACUCGUGUCGCCAGUUGACUAUGAAUGUAAUCCUGAGGGAAGGUUGGUUUGGUCCGGUUGGAUUGUUGAACGUCCAGCAUAGAGAUUUCAUCGUAUCAUAAUAUGUGAUAUGUGGCGAAUAUAUGCGGUGACGAAAGUGGACUCUGAUACGCCUGGUGAAUCGUCACGCCAAAGUGGACAUUGUCGUCAAGAGAAGUUUAUGCAAUCGUAUUUAAAAUUGAUUACGAGGGUUCCAUGCUGCUGCUUGAUUAUUUGGAAAAGAAAAAUCAUCAUGCUGUACUUGAUGAAAGCAAUUAAUAUACACAUAAAGUUGGAAAAAAAAAUAAUUCCAUUGCGCCAUAACCAGGUGAACAAUUGUGUUUUAUCAAGGUGGCUGAUUAUCUUUAUCAAUUGAGAAAACAUCAGCUACGUAGGACGUGAUAAUUAAAAAUCUUAUAACAAUUUUAUGUAAUUUAAUUUCAAAAUGUCAAUGUGGUGGGUCACAUCUAUACGCAUACAAACAGAGAGCUUUUACCCGUCGGUAAAACCACACGAGCUUUGUAUACGCGUACAGUUUGUCCUGUCUUUUUUAUUUAUUUAUUUUUUAUUUUUUUUGCCUUGAAGCACGUUUAAGCGCAUGAAUUGGAGGGAGAGCACAUUUGGAGCGUAUGCAUCUAAAUGCGUUUUACCAUGGAUCAAAUGCAUUACGUUAUAGUCGUGGUAUUGGAUGGUAUCAGAGUGAGUCAGCCAGCGAGACAUACACGAGGCUUAUGAGUGUAUGCGAAAAGGAUUAAACUUUACUCCUCAUUCCCUCACCUAACUCGAUUCGUCAUUUUACCUGUCAAUCAAGGAUGGAAAAAAAAGUGAGCGAAUGCAUAAUCAUGACAGAUUAUUAUUUGCGGCAUAUCAGAGAAUAAUACAAUGGAGUAAAAUGAAUGGGAACUCAAUGCAGAACAGUGAACGUGGAUCAAAACUUAAUAACGAUGUCAUAUCGGCUUCGGGGUAUUUUUCAAUAGACUUGAAAUUUCAUGGCUUUGCAUUACGAGUUUUUAAAAAAAAUCGUCAACCAAAAAGUAUGCGACAGGAGCAUUGGCCUUAAUGCAUUCCAAGAGGUGAUAAAAUGAUCAAGGGCUGUGUGUGUGGCUGCAUAAAGGUCGAAGGUACGAUGGUUUGCAGAAAAAAAAAAAAAAGAUGAAGCAAGCAAGGUGCAUUAUAUAUAUUAUCCAAGGAUUUGCAUUGGACAAGACUUACAGUUAUUGCUGAACAUCUCAUCAGGACUUAUGAGGCACCCUAAGAAAAUGGCUUGAGCUAUAUGGCCAUGGCUAUUUUCUCUUGUCUUGGAAUCUAAAGAUGAAUAGUAAAGGGGAUGAAAUUAUCUUGGGGAUAUAUUUCGUGUCUUUCAGAGCAGAGUUAUAUGAGAAAAUUUUACUGUAUAUUUGAAAUAUACAAUAAGCAAUUGAAGUGACUCAAGUUAUAUACACUUUAAUCUUGAAAAUUGUUACUAGCAGUCAUGGUCAUCUUCCUGUAGUCGUUUUGGUGUCCCAACUAAUUAAAGUAAAACCGUAUUUUGGUAAUUCAAAGUGUCCAUAGUACAUCUCUACACUUUACAGUUGAAUUGUUAGUAGAUGAAGAGAAAGGAGAAUACGAAAAUUUACAAUUUUAUACAUAUAUAUGUAUAUAAAUGUGAAACUCGUGGAAACUAAGUGCCUGACUGUCCUUGGAAUUGGCUCAUUCCCGUGAAAUAACUGCCUCUCAAUAUAUAUUGUUAAUGUAUAGAUAUAUAUAUCGUUAUACCAGGACAUCCGCCUUAGCAAGAAUAAUCCAACUGUAUAGUUUAUCCCAAAGCCAGGAAUUGCGUAACAUUAAACUUGGUGACGACAAAACUUAGCUUGGUGGUGCCAAGAACAAUGAAAAUGUGACAAAUAUCUUAUUAUUUCUUGUCUUUGGCGCCGAGUUGACUUGGGCAGGCUAUCAAUUAUUACUAUUAUCUCUGUAAAAUUAUCAUCAUCAUCAUCAUCAUCAACAUUAACAUUAACAUUAACAUACAUACAUGUUACAGUGGAAAAUCGUUUGGGCAAAAUCACUGAGAGAAGAGAAACCAAAUCCCAUAGGAAGUUAGCACGGAUUACCAUGGGCAUCCAUCACUCGAUGUUUCUUUCCAGUCAGCAUCAACUGUAAAGGCGAAAAUAGAGUCUUAGAGGGAUACAACUUGUCUGUAUUGGAAAAGGAAAUUUCCGGCAAAUUGCAGCCCCAAGCUAUGGCCUGUAUAUCUAUUCUUGUUUUUGGUCUUUGGAUUUUAAUUCACGCUGAGUGAACGAUGGAACAAUGACAGACUCAAGUGGUUCUCCAUGGGUCAAAGGGAGUGCUCCAUGAUUGGUGGAAGAAGAAAAUAAAGACGAUAAUGAAAAAAAAAAAGAAGAAAAAAAAAAUUGAAAACGUUUGCAAGAAUGAGAGAAGAGACGCUCGGGCACGCUUUGGCCACUUUGCUAGACGAGAAAGUGGAGUCUGUAUACUUGAGAUGUAAAGGCGAAAUAUACGGGUACGUGUGCUUUGUACAUGAGUGGAUUGUGUACGAGGAGGAGAGGCCUUCAUCGUACGAGUGCUUUUGCUUGCUGAAUCAAAUGCAUAUACCUGCAUGUGGACCAACUCACCCGAGAGCACCUGUUGAAACGACCGCAUAUCCAAAGUUGCUCGACUUCAAUCUAUCGUUCAGGAUUCGUGACGAAUACUAAUAAAGUUGAACCCGCUAAUUUCUUCAAGUGACCCUCUUGAAGUAGCGUGUUCGAUUAUAUAUAGGGUGUGGAAAAGGUCUGAAUUCGUUGGGGGUUGCCGAAAGAGAAAAAAAAAAAGCCAAGAGAAACCGUUUUGGAAUUGAAAAAAAAAAAAACCACCACCACCACCUAUGGCGUUUGGGAAAUAUGCUUUCAGGCACUUUCAAACUUAAGGGCGUUUUAGAUUCCAAUCUAAUAAAUACUUCCUCAAUGCUAACUGUCUUUUUUUUUAUGUUAUUAUUUUUUAUUAGGGAGAGAGAGUGUAUACAUAGAGAAGGAAAAAAAAAAAAUGCGUCCAUCCGUAUCGCCUUUUUUAAAACCUACUUAUCUUGGAAGCUACAAAUCAAUUUAACGACAUGAAUAAAAAGUCAUUUUAACUUGCUAUUAUUUUUGGUUCGUUAGGAUGUGUCUCUUCAUUAAUCACAUAUCCCUUCACCAGCCGGAAACGAUGAAUUUUCUAUGCUCAAUGCAGAAAUCUAAAAGUGAAAAGGAAAAAAAAAAAAGCUAUAUCAAUAAAAAAUAAGUGAGUCCGGUCAAAAAUAUACGUCGACAAAACACAUUUGAAAAAUGUAUGAAUUUUAUCAGCAACAGCAUUUUUAAUCACACUGGUAUUUAUGUGGUUGGUGUUAAUAUAGAAGCUAUGUGGUUAUGCAUAGUAAUGAGAAACGAGAGAAACACGGGACACAAUCUAAUAGGCAUAAAAUGCUCCAGUUAAAAACUCCAUCUUAAAUAUUGGAGAAAUAAAAAGAACAAAGCCGAUUAAAAACAAAAAGAAAAUUACUCGGAAAUUUGUUUUUAUAAUGACGAGUAACGGAGUAAAAUGCAUUGACUGUGUGACAUUUGCUAAUGGACACUGAUGGUGAUAAAAAUUUAUCUUUUCAUCGAUACACCUGCUAUAUAAUAAUAAUAUGAAUUUCAAUGAGACAAGCCAACAAUAUCAGUUGAGAAUUUCCAUAAUCAUCAAUGCAAGUAUGAGGAAGUUUAGUAAUUUUUUUAUCAUCUAUCAUUCGAACUUUCUUUUGGAUGAAUUUGUGGCUAAUUAAUUUUUUUUUUUGGCUAUUGCGAUUUGUUGUCAAGGCUUUAUGUGAUCCAGGAAUUAAUGAUAGAAAAAUCAUCAAACUAAGUUAUAAAAAUCUAAUACUAUACCGAGAGUAUACCAUUUAUUUUUCUUCAGAUCAAACAAAUGUGUUUAUUCAUUGGAUUUCGACUGUCUCUUCAUUUAUUUAGGCGGACAAAUUUCAAAUAAAAUUGGGUCAAUGGGGGAAACAACUUACUACCAAAGUAAAAUAGAAAAAUAAAAAAAAAAAAAACGAAAAAUUUGUUGCAGUAUCGUCAACGAAACGUGAGCAAUCGCAAGAAAUACACAUGACACUAGACAAAUGACUGUUUUUGACCCUGUUGUGAUCUUUGAAAAAAUAAGUUUUAGGGUCGAAGUCAGAGCAAAACGAUAAGAGCAAACCAAUCCUACACCUCUUUACUUUAUAUCCACCAUAGAAAAAAAGAUAGUGAAAUCACUCGUAGUUGAUCUUAUCCCUUGACUGUUUGCUUGCUUCAUUACCUCAAUAUAAAUUGUCCUGGCUGGUUGGGGUCACUCUUGAUUGAAUAUCAUCAUUUAUUUCUUUAUUUCAAGGUAGAUACACAAUAC